rnacentral:lncRNA from 1 species
GGGGUGGGGCUGCUCCUCUGUGAAGGAAGGGCGCCAGGGCUUCUGGAUUGUCCCACGUAGUCUCCGAGUUGUCCUCCGUGCUCGGUGUCGUCUGACCACAGCCCCUGAGCCCCUUCUGCAGGAGGACCAGUCUAUUCCUCCUCAAUGUAAGCGGUAGUCGGUGGAGCAAGAGAGUUCACAUAGCUGGCCGUUGAAGUCCAGGUGGUCCUGCACGUAGACCACAGUCUGUUUGCAGUGUGUGUAUGGGGACUCAAGGACUAGUAGAAAAGCUGGUCCUCUGUGGCAUCAGGUGAACUCGAUGUUGAAGUAGGCCACCAAUACAUGCAUGUAAUCGUUCCUCUUCACUUGCAGGCAGAAGCAGGAGGCAAAGGUCAUAUCCUCUACCUUUACUGUAUAAAUGUCCACCUCCUUUAUGAGGCAGGCAUUAAUGACCAGCUGCUUUGGAUACACCAUGUCCACCAAGGGCUCCUUGAUGGCCACGUCUUUGAUGUAGGACAUAUCAAAACCAUACAUAUUCUCCCACCAGGGGAUCUUGUAGUCUUUAUACUGUCAACCCUCAAGGGUUUUUUCAAAAUAGGGUUUCUCUGUAGCUUUGAAGCCUGUCCUGGAACUCGCUCUGUGGACCAGGCUGGCCUUGAAUUUACAAAGAUCCCUCUGCCUCUGCCUCUGCCUCCCAAGUGCUGGGAUUAAAGGCGAGCACCACCACUCUCCAGCUACCAAACACAUUCUUAAUAAUAUUAACAACAACCCAGAUUAAAAAAUGUGGAGCAGGCGCUUCAGAGCCUCCUUGAGGCUGUUUGGUUGGCAUAACUGCUUCCUUUCCUUUCUUUUGGUUCUUGCACUUUGCACUUCCUUACUCUUUCUCUGGAG